GCCUGAGGAUGAGCUCCCGUCUGAUUAGCUUGUUGGGGGGGGAAAGGCUUACCCAGGCGACGAUUAAUUGCUGUUCUGGGAGGGAGAUCAACCCCACUGGGGCUGAGACACGGCCCAAACUCCUACGGGGGGCACAGUGGGGAAUUUUCCCCAAUGGGCGCAAGCCUGGCGGGACCACCCCCCGUGGGGGAAGAAUGGCUGUGGGUUUGAAACCUUUUUUUUCUGGGAAAAAAAUCUGGCGGUUUCAAAAGAAUUAACAUCGGCUAACUCCCUGCCACCGCCCGGGUAAGACGGGGGAUGCAAGCUUUUUCCGGAAUUUUUGGGCGUAAAGCGUCCCUGGGGGGUUAAAUAAUUUAGUUUUUAAAGACUGCCCCUUAACUGUGGGAGAGCAACUGAAACUGUUUGACUUGGGUUUGGGGGGGGUAGAGGGAAUUCCUUGUGUAGCGGGAAAAUGCUUAAAUUUUAGAAAAAACCCCCGUGGGGAAGGCCCUCUUUUGGGCCCAAACUGACCCUUGGGGACAAAAG
rnacentral:rRNA from 1 species